rnacentral:rRNA from 1 species
AGCGAACGCUGGCGGCAGGCUUAACACAUGCAAGUCGAGCGGGCACUUCGGUGUCAGCGGCAGACGGGUGAGUAACACGUGGGAACGUACCCUUUGGUUCGGAAUAACGCUGGGAAACUAGCGCUAAUACCGGAUACGCCCUUUUGGGGAAAGGCUUGCUGCCGAAGGAUCGGCCCGCGUCUGAUUAGCUAGUUGGUGGGGUAAUGGCCUACCAAGGCGACGAUCAGUAGCUGGUCUGAGAGGAUGAUCAGCCACACUGGGACUGAGACACGGCCCAGACUCCUACGGGAGGCAGCAGUGGGGAAUAUUGGACCAUGGGCGCAAGCCUGAUCCAGCCAUGCCGCGUGAGUGAUGAAGGCCUUAGGGUUGUAAAGCUCUUUUGUCCGGGACGAUAAUGACGGUACCGGAAGAAUAAGCCCCGGCUAACUUCGUG